CAUGAAGUCGGAAUCGCUAGUAAUCGUGAAUCAGAAUGUCACGGUGAAUACGUUCCCGGGCCUUGUACACACCGCCCGUCACACCAUGGGAGUGGGCUGCAAAAGAAGUGGGUAGUUUAACCUUUCGGGGAGGACGCUCACCACUUUGUGGUUCAUGACUGGGGUGAAGUCGUAACAAGGUAGCCCUAGGGGAACCUGGGGCUGGAUCACCUCCUUA
rnacentral:rRNA from 1 species